rnacentral:rRNA from 1 species
GAUGAACGCUGGCGGCGUGCCUAAUACAUGCAAGUCGAGCGAUGCGGGGAGGGUGGAGUAACACGUGGAAAACCUCCGUUAAGACUGGGAUAAAUUGGGGAAACCCGAGCUAAACCGGAUACUUAUAUCUGGAUCCGCGCUGCAUUAGCUAGUGGGUAAGGUAACGGCUAACCAAGGCAACGAUGCAUAGCCGACCUGAGAGGGUGAUCGGCCACACUGGAACUGAGACACGGUCCAGACUCCUACGGGAGGCAGCAGGAGGGAAUCUUCCGCGAUGGGCGAAAGCCUGACGGAGCAACGCCGCGUGAGUGAUGAAGGUUUUCGGAUCGUAAAACUCUGUUAUUAGGGAAGCGGUACCUAAUCAGAAAGCCACGGCUAACUACGUGCCAGCAGCCGCGGUAAUAC